UACGAGAGGUGCAAGCGUUAUUCGGAAUCAUUGGGCGUAAAGGGUGCGUAGACGGCAUUGUAAGUCUGUUGUUAAAAUUCUUGGCCUAACUGAGAGUCUGCAACGGAAACUGCUUUGCUAGAGGGUGAGAGAGAGAAGUGGAAUUCUCGGAGUAGCGGAUCAAAUGCGUAGAUCUCGAGAGGAACACCGAUGGCGAAGGCAGCUUCUUGGCUCAUUUCUGACGUUGAUGCACGAAAGCGUGGGGAGCAAACAGG
rnacentral:rRNA from 1 species